rnacentral:rRNA from 1 species
GACGAACGCUGGCGGCGUGCUUAACACAUGCAAGUCGAACGGUGAAGGGGAGCUUGCUCCCUGGAUCAGUGGCGAACGGGUGAGUAACACGUGGGCAACCUGCCCCUGACUUCGGGAUAACGCUUCGAAAGAGGUGCUAAUACCGGAUAUGAACCCUGAGGGCAUCCUCGGGGUUGGAAAGUUUUUCGGUCAGGGAUGGGCCCGCGGCCUAUCAGCUAGUUGGUGAGGUAGUGGCUCACCAAGGCGACGACGGGUAGCCGGCCUGAGAGGGCGACCGGCCACACUGGGACUGAGCCACGGCCCAGACGCCUACGGGAGGCAGCAGUGGGGAAUAUUGCGCAAUGGGCGAAAGCCUGACGCAGCAACGCCGCGUGAGGGAUGAAGGCCUUCGGGUUGUAAACCUCUUUCAGCAGGGAAGAAGCGAAAGUGACGGUACCUGCAGAAGAAGCACCGGCUAACUACGUGCCAGCCGCCGCCGUAA